UAGGAAAUAGUAUAAAGGUAGUACGGAGGGUUUUGGGCCCUGAGGUGCAGGUUCGUGUCCUGUUUUUCUAG
rnacentral:tRNA from 1 species